GCCCUAGUGGUGUAACGGUUAAGCACUCUGCUGCUAACUGAAAGGUUGAUGGUUCCAACCCACCCUGUGGCU
rnacentral:tRNA from 1 species